rnacentral:rRNA from 1 species
CAGUCGCCACGGGAAUACGUAGGGUCCGAGCGUUGUCCGGAAUUACUGGGCGUAAAGAGCUCGUAGGUGGUUUGUCGCGUUGUUCGUGAAAACUCACAGCUCAACUGUGGGCGUGCGGGCGAUACGGGCAGACUAGAGUACUGCAGGGGAGACUGGAAUUCCUGGUGUAGCGGUGGAAUGCGCAGAUAUCAGGAGGGACACCGGUGGCGAAGGCGGGUCUCUGGGCAGUAACUGACGCUGAGGAGCGAAAGCGUGAGGAGCGAACAGGAUUAGAUACCCCUGUAGUCCCUGUCUCUUAUAC